UACGUACUCCCUCCGUCCGGAAAUACUUGUCUUCAAAAUGGAUAAAAAUGGAUGUAUCUACAACUAAAAUACAUCUAGAUACAUCCAUUUCAAUGACAAGUAUUUCCGGACGGAGUGAGUAACUA
rfam:Triticum aestivum genome assembly, contig: Triticum_aestivum_CS42_TGACv1_scaffold_226201_3B